GGAUGUGAGGGUGAUCUGGUGACAAUAUCUGUCACUCCAUUGAUUGUCAAGGCUGGUUAGGUGGGUGACCCCUUCCUCCCUCCACUCUGUGUGCGACUCUCCCGAAGCUGCGUGCACCGUCGAAGAGGGCAACCAUCCCCCAGAGAGAGGAGGACCAGUCUUGGGUCAAGGGUAUGCGAGUAGCUGUGCUCCCCUGCUAGAACCUCCAAACAAGUUCUCAACAUGCAUUUGUAGGAGAACAUAGUGUGGUCAAGCUUCUGAAAUUCCAGAUGAUCCAAAUGAGGUGCUGCAUGUGGCAGGAAGAAG
rfam:Dipodomys ordii contig_25592, whole genome shotgun sequence.